UGGGGAAUAUUGCACAAUGGGCGAAAGCCUGAUGCAGCAACGCCGCGUGAAGGAAGACGGUUUUCGGAUUGUAAACUUCUAUCAAUAGGGAAGAAAGGAAUGACGGUACCUAAAUAAGAAGCCCCGGCUAACUACGUGCCAGCAGCCGCGGUAAUACGUAGGGGGCAAGCGUUAUCCGGAAUUACUGGGUGUAAAGGGAGAGUAGGCGGCAAGGUAAGCGAUAUGUGAAAGCCUUAGGCUUAACCUGAGGAUUGCAUAACGAACUAUCUAGCUAGAGUACAGGAGAGGAAAGCGGAAUUCUUAGUGUAGCGGUGAAAUGCGUAGAUAUUAGGAAGAACACCAGUGGCGAAGGCGGCUUUCUGGACUGAAACUGACGCUGAGGCUCGAAAGCGUGGGGAGCGAACA
rnacentral:rRNA from 1 species